CGUCUGUUUGCUGCUCUUCUCCAGGACUGUGGGGAACUGUUGGGACCCCCUCUGCUAAAAAGGAGGAAAGAAUGGGCAACGGUAGGUCAGCAUGCCCCGAAUUAUCCGGGCUACACGCGGGCUACAAUGGGUGGGAGAAUGGGUAUCCACACCGAAAAGUGAAGGCGAUCUCCUAAACCCAUCCUUAGUUCGGAUUGUGGGCUGCAACUCGCCCACAUGAAACUGGAAUCUGUAGUAAUCGUGUCUCAACAUGGCACGGUGAAAAUGUCCCUGCCCCUUGCAACCCACAUUAAAGCUGCCCCAAAAGCUGAACAAAAAUUCCCAGUCCCUGCUCCUUGCACAAAA
rnacentral:rRNA from 1 species